AUUGAACGCUGGCGGAAUGCUUUACACAUGCAAGUCGAACGGUAGAGGGGGCAACCCCUCGAGAGUGGCGAACGGGUGAGUAAUAUAUCGGAACGUGCCCAGUCGUGGGGGAUAACGUAGCGAAAGUUACGCUAAUACCGCAUACGAUCUAAGGAUGAAAGCGGGGGAUCGCAAGACCUCGCGCGCUUGGAGCGGCCGAUAUCAGAUUAGGUAGUUGGUGGGGUAAAGGCUCACCAAGCCAACGAUCUGUAGCUGGUCUGUGAGGACGACCAGCCACACUGGAACUGAGACACGGUCCAGACUCCUACGGGAGGCAGCAGUGGGGAAUUUUGGACAAUGGACGCAAGUCUGAUCCAGCCAUUCCGCGUGCAGGAUGAAGGCCCUCGGGUUGUAAACUGCUUUUGUACGGAACGAAAAGGUCUCUCUUAAUACGGGGGACUCAUGACGGUACCGUAAGAAUAAGCACCGGCUAACUACGUGCCAGCAGCCGCGGUAA
rnacentral:rRNA from 1 species